GUUUUUGUAGUGUAGCGGUUAGCACCUUUGCCUUACGUGCAAAUGGUUCCCUGGUUCAAAGCCAGGCAGAAACA